GAUGAAGAACGUAGCGAAAUGCGAUACUUGGUGUGAAUUGCAGAAUCCCGUGAACCAUCGAGUCUUUGAACGCAAGUUGCGCCUCAAGCCAUUAGGUUGAGGGCACGUCUGCCUGGGCGUCACAUAUCGUUGCCUGAUGCCAGUUUCCUCGUGAUGGGUGACUGUGCAGGGCGAAUGAUGGCUUCCCGUGAGCAUUGUUGCCUCAUGGUUGGUUGAAAAUUGAGUCCUUGGUAGGGAGCGCCGUGAUAGAUGGGGGUUGAGUGACGAACGAGACGCAAUCAUGUGAGACCCCUACCGAAUUUGGCCUUCAUGACCCACAUGCGUCUUUGGAACGCUCAUGACGAGACCUCAGGUCAGGCGGGGCUACCCGCUGAGUUUAAGCAUAUCAAUAAGCGGAGGA
rnacentral:misc_RNA from 1 species